rnacentral:lncRNA from 1 species
UUAGUAGACUAAAAAAUCCAUCACAACAAUAAGUCUUAUGCUGCACCGUCAGCCUUCUACAACAUUAUGCGAUGAGGAAGACUUGUUUGUUGCAGCAUAAGCUUAUUGCAAGUUAAAAUUUGCAUUGCAAAAAAAGUUUCUCAUUGUAGCGAUUGAAUAUUAGGACUUUGAGUGUAAAUUCACAUUGCAGCCUGAAAGUUUUUCACUAUAGCACCACCAUGCUGCCUUAAAGCUUUUUCUUCUUUUUUCUUUCUUCUUAAUAAAGU